UAGAUCGAAUCCAGAUUACGCCGCUCU
rnacentral:piRNA from 1 species